ACUGGUGUCAGCCGCCGCGGUAAUACCAGCUCUCCGAGUGGUAGGGACGAUUAUUGGGCUUAAAGCGUCCGUAGCCGGCUCAGCAAGUCCUCCGUUAAAUCCAGCGAUUCAAUCGUUGGACUGCAGGGGAUACUGCUGGGCUAGGGGACGAGAGAGGCCGACGGUAUUCUCGGAGUAGGGGUGAAAUCCUAUAAUUCCGGGAGGACCACCAGUGGCGAAGGCUGUCGGCUAGAACGAGCUCGACGGUGAGGGACGAAAGCUGGGGGAGCGAACCGGAUUAGAUACCCGGGUAGUCCCAGCUGUAAACUAUGCGGGCUAGGUGUCAGUGUGGCUACGAGCCACUCUGGUGCCGCAGGGAAGCUCAUAA
rnacentral:rRNA from 1 species